rnacentral:rRNA from 1 species
GAUGAACGCUGGCGGCGUGCCUAAUACAUGCAAGUCGAACGCUUGAGAUCUAGCUUGCUAGAUCGAAGGAGUGGCGAACGGGUGAGUAAUACAUAAGCAACCUACCCACGAAGACUGGGAUAAUCUCUGGAAACGGGGACUAAUACCGGAUAGGUAAUCGGAAGGCAUCUUCUGGUUAUUAAAGGUUAAAAACACUGGUGGAUGGGCUUAUGGCGCAUUAGUUAGUUGGUGAGGUAACGGCCCACCAAGACGAUGAUGCGUAGCCGGCCUGAGAGGGUGAACGGCCACAUUGGGACUGAGACACGGCCCAGACUCCUACGGGAGGCAGCAGUAGGGAAUUUUCGGCAAUGGGGGCAACCCUGACCGAGCAACGCCGCGUGAGUGAAGACGGCCUUCGGGUUGUAAAGCUCUGUUGUAAGGGAAGAACGGUAGAUAGAGAAUAUCUAAGUGACGGUACCUUACCAGAAAGCCACGGCUAACUACGUG